GAUGAAGAACGUAGUGAAAUGCGAUACGUAAUGUGAAUUGCAGAAUUCAGUGAAUCAUCGAAUCUUUGAACGCAUAUUGCGCUCUCUGGUAUUCCGGAGAGCAUGCUUGUUUGAGUAUCAGUAAACACCUCAACUCCCCUUUCUUUUUUUGAAAUGGGAGCUGGACUUGGGUGAUCCCAACGCUUUUCUCACCGAAAAGUGGCGGGUUACUUGAAAUGCAGGUGCAGCUGGACUUUUCUCUGAGCUAAAAGCAUAUCUAUUUAGUCUGCCUAAAAAACAGAUUAUUACCUUUGCUGCAGCUAACAUAAAGGAGAUUAGUUCUUGUGCUGACUGAUGCAGGAUUCACAGAGACAGCUUCGGCUGGCCUUUGUAAACUCGAUCUCAAAUCAAGUAAGACUACCCGCUGAACUUAAGCAUAUCAAUAAGCGGAGGA
rnacentral:misc_RNA from 1 species